UGGCCUGCGGCGGGGAACAAAUGGGCCUCUAGCCCCGAUUCCCAGGCCUCCGGCCUCAUGGGGACCUCUGGGUGUCACUGGGACGCCGACUUUGCCUGUGCUCCAGCAGUCCCGACAUAACAACCUAGCCCAGAUCCCCUACCCAACCAAGACCCGGCUGUCAGACAUCCCAACUUCAUCUGAACCCCGACACCUGUCGUGAUAUUCUUGCCAAUACAACCGACGUCCCAGUUUUCCCAGCACCCCAGCACUCCAUUCCUGCCAUCAACCCCAUGCCCACCCAAACCCCAACAGAGACAACCCCAUUCAUGCGAACCCCAAUAUUCGCAAUCCCAAUUCUUCCUACAUCGACACACUUUGGUGCACCCCAACUUUACGCAACCCAGUUUGCCUACAAACUCCAACCCGCACCCAAGCCUAACUCCCACUGGAACCGCGAUUAUCACGGCUGGGCCUCCCCUACUGAGCCUGGUUGGCGGAGGGGAGUCUUAAAGCCGCCGCCAUCUGGAGAACCAGCUUUACAAGGACCCUCACUUCACUACUCUUCGGCGGCCCCAAAGCCUCUGGGGGGCCCUCUAUGGCCACCACUUGCUCCUCGCCCAGGAGUCAUCUCAUGCCGCCUCCCCCAGCCCUGGUGGAAGAAGCCAGCGCGGACCCCUGCCUCUCUGCCCCAGAAAGUCUUCGGAGGGAUGACCCUCUGCUGACAAGCUGGGGGAAGUUGGCGUUCAGAGACCCCCGUUUUGCUGCUCAUCCCAGGGAAAUCCCGGCCCCACUCCUGACCUCAGACUCACUCCCACCCUCAAGUGGAUCGAGGUGGGGGUAGCCAGGGGCGCUGUCUCCAGUGACAAGGUCUCUGGGACCCCUCAUGGGCUCAAGACCCCCUCCCCCAGGCAGCAGCUGUGUGACUCAUCACCACCCCCUCUGCACCUCGGGCCCCCCCACUACAGCCGCCCCACUCCCCGUCAGCGGCAGCCGGCUGCUGCGUCAGCCACUCACGCAGGGUGGUUAUUAAAGGAGAGAGACAUCAGCACCGAGCUCCCCUGCGCCCGCCGUCCAUGCGGGAGGGGCCACCCACCCACUGGAGCCCCAGACGCGGGCCCCACAUGCCCAGCCUGGGAGCAAUUCAGGCCCAUUCUUUCUGAUCUGCCCCCCCAGCCCCCAGCCCCAGCAGUCAGCGCGGGGGACGUUCUCUGCCCCAGAGCAGCCCUUGUAGGGGGGGAGUUGGAGGGGGUGCCUGGUAGUCAUAGCGGCCCCUGCAUAAUUGCGUAAUUCUUGCCGCUCCCCCCAACCCAUCGUUUCCUGGUUCUGUGAGCCUCUGCCUUUUCCUGGUUUUGCGAAGCGCCGUGUUCAUUCAUUCAUUCAUUCAUUCA